rnacentral:pre_miRNA from 11 species
CAUACAGGUUCAGUUUGGCAUUCUGUCCACCUCCACAUGAUGUACGUGUUGAUGGCGUUGAAGAUUGCUGGUUCGGAGGUGGCCAGCCUGCUAAACUAGCUCUGUAAG